rnacentral:rRNA from 1 species
UAUGCUUAACACAUGCAAGUCGAACGGCAGCACAGGGAGCUUGCUCCUGGGUGGCGAGUGGCGGACGGGUGAGUAACGCGUGAGGAUCUGCCCUUAGGUGGGGGACAACCGUUGGAAACGACUGCUAAUACCCCAUAUGCCGAGAGGUGAAAGAUUAAUUGCCUGAGGAUGAACUAGCGUCUGAUUAUCUAGUUGGUGGGGUAAGGGCCUACCAAGGCUACGAUCAGUAGCUGGUCUGAGAGGACGAUCAGCCACACUGGAACUGAGACACGGUCCAGACUCCUACGGGAGGCAGCAGUGGGGAAUUUUCCGCAAUGGGCGAAAGCCUGACGGAGCAAUCUCGCGUGAGGGAUGACGGCCUAUGGGUUGUAAACCUCUUUUUUCAGGGAUGAAUAAAAUGACGUGUACCUGAAGAAUAAGCAUCGGCUAACUCCGUGCCAGCAGCCGCCGUAAAAC